CCUACGGGGGGCAGCAGUGGGGGAUAUUGCACAAUGGGGGGAACCCUGAUGCAGCGACGCCGCGUGGGUGAAGGAGUGCUUCGGCAUGUAAAGCCCUAUCGGCAGGGAAGAAGCAAGACGGUACCUGACUAAGAAGCCCCGGCCAACUACGUGCCAGCAGCCGCGGUAAUACGUAGGGGGCGAGCGUUAUCCGGAUUCACUGGGUGUAAAGGGAGCGUAGACGGCCAUGCAAGCCAGGGGUGAAAGCCCGGGGCCCAACCCCGGGACUGCCCUUGGAACUGUGCGGCUAGAGUGCGGGAGGGGCAGGCGGAAUUCCUGGUGUAGCGGUGAAAUGCGUAGAUAUCAGGAGGAACACCGGCGGCGAAGGCGGCCUGCUGGACUGCGACUGACGUUGAGGCUCGAAAGCGUGGGGAGCGAACAGGAUUAGAUACCCCGGUAGUC
rnacentral:rRNA from 1 species